AAGCUCGAACAGAGCUUUUUUAAUAUCCUAACAAAUCUGAUUUCUUGUUUAUUCAAUAAAAAUAAGCUAUAAUAGAGCGUAGCACUUAAAGUUAGAAAGAAGGUGUAAGU
rnacentral:sRNA from 17 species